UAAUACAGAGGGUGCAAGCGUUAAUCGGAAUUACUGGGCGUAAAGCGUGCGUAGACGGUUGCGUAAGUCAGAUGUGAAAGCCCCGGGCUCAACCUGGGAAUUGCAUUUGAGACUGCGUAGCUAGGGUGCGGAAGAGGGAAGCGGAAUUUCCGGUGUAGCGGUGAAAUGCGUAGAUAUCGGAAGGAACACCAGUGGCGAAAGCGGCUUCCUGGUCCAGCACCGACGUUCAGGCACGAAAGCGUGGGGAGCAAACAGGAUUAGAUACCCUGGUAGUCCACGCCAUAAACGAUGAGGACUAGACGUUGAGAGGGUAAGCCUCCCAGUGUCGCAGCUAACGCGAUAAGUCCUCCGCCUGGGGAGUACGGCCGCAAGGUUG
rnacentral:rRNA from 1 species